GCCGUGCCCAGGAAGCGGGAGCAGGAAGCUGUGGGGCCGCGGGGAUGGUGGGCAGCGGCCCGGCGGUGAGCGGGGAGCCCGCGGGCAGUGCCGGGGCUGGAGCGGGGCUGGGAGCCGGCGCUGCCCGGGCCGGGGGUGCGGAGCGCGGCCGCGGGCCCCUGGCAGGCGGCGAGGGCCGGGCCGCGGUGCCGCCGGGGUGUGGCGGGCGCUGCCGGGCAAGAGCCGUCCGUGUCCUGCCCUGCGUGUGCCUCGUCUGUUCCCUCGCACGGGCUUUGAGGCUGCACGGGCGGCACUGUGGCUCCCAAGUAUGGAAUGGCAGAACUGGUAGAAGCAGGAUACGAUGUUCGCCAACCAGACAAAGAAAAUGUGACUCUUCUUCAGUGGGCAGCAACAAACAGCAGACAGGAGGAGCUGGUGAAGUAAGCCGGGAGUCCCUGUGACAGUAACGCAGCGUAUUCUGCCACUGUUACCUAUAAUCGCUUUGUUGCUUUUGUACUGGAAAAGGAACACGGUGCCUGAGAAGAAAAGGGUAGAAUUCAAAUUUUGAUGCACUUAGCCUUGUGUCGAUGUCACUGGAAUGUAAAGACAGCACGGUUUCUUUAGAUGUGAAAUCAUGUAUUGCAUGAAACCAUUAGAUUUUUCAUGGGUUUGUUUCUGUAACAAAGAUGAAAGCUGAUUUUAGAAGUACCUUGCUAAAGACUAUAUUUUUUCUUCAACAUUUUCUUGAAACAGUGUCAUUUACUGCAAAAGCACUUCUGUCCAUUUGCUUCUCUAGUGAAUUUUUUACUAGGAGUCAUUUACUUCUUUAGCUGUGUUAUCAUUCGUAUCAUGUUUUGCUAUUUUGUCUGUUCCUGACCUUCCUGUGUUGUUAUUACACAGAUAUUACAUUUCCAAAGGUGCGUAGUGGAUCAGCUUGGUGGAGAUUUGAAUUCUGCGCCCCUGCACUGGGCCAUUAGGUAAUGCUGCUUGCAACCACUAGUUGCAAAUCUCUCGGUAUUGACAGCUGUGGUAGCGUUUUCUGAGAUCCGCAGAACAAAGCACUGCUUGGCUGGAGAAAACAUAUGCUGAAAUAAUUCUUCUGGGAAAACUUGUCCGAGUGCAAAUUCUCCCAUUGGAAGAUCAGUGUUUUCUUCUGGAUGGUCAGUCUUUUGCCAGAGUCAGAGACUUGGAUGACUGCUCAGAGGAGAAACUACUGUAGAAUAACCUCUGUAUUCUAAAUGAACACUUUGCCCUAGGCUCAUUCAUUAAGGUAUAUAUUUAAUAUAAUUUGCUGAAAAAGCCAUGAGAAUCUGAGAGAAAACUGGUUUUUGUGUGGUCUCUAUGAGAACUAUAAGGGCAAUGCUUUCAAUAAAAUAUCAGGUUUUUAAAUCAUCUCUAUAGUUUCACUUCACACCUCGUUAUAGACAAGGACACCUUCCCAGGGGACAGCAGCAUCCAAAGGAGCUGUGCAGGGAUGUGCAGAUGCCAAAAGGGACUCUAGGGCAGUUGGACACGCUCCAGCGGGCUCAGCCCCCCGUGCUGGGGCAGGGAAAGAGCAUG
rnacentral:lncRNA from 1 species